rnacentral:rRNA from 1 species
AUGCCCAGCCGUAAACCAAUUCACACGCCAGGGAAUUACGAGCUUAGCUUAAAACCCAAAAGACUUGACGGUGUCCCCACCCCACUAGAGGAGCCUGUCCUAAAAUCGACGAUCCCCGCUUAACCUUACCACUUCUUGCUUUAUCAGCCAGUAUACUUCCGUCGCAAGCUUACCACAUGAGUGUACGUAGUAGGCUCAAUGAUCACCCAUAAAUACGUCAGGUCAAGGUGCAGUAUAAGAAGUGGACUGAGAUGGGCUACAAUUUCUAACUUAGAACACACGAAAUGCUAAAUGAAACACAACAUGAAGGUGGAUUUAGUAGUAAAGAGAAAAUAGAGCGUUCUUUUUAACAGCGGCGCUGGGACACGUACAAACCGCCCGUCAUCCUCCUCAACAGGCAUGCUUCUGUAAAUAACAACAACCCCGCCAACAGAGAAGGCAAGUCGUAACACGGUAAGUGUAUCGGAAGAUGCACUUGGAGAG